GACGAACGCUGGCGGCGUGCUUAACACAUGCAAGUCGAACGGAAAGGCCCUGCUUUUGUGGGGUGCUCGAGUGGCGAACGGGUGAGUAACACGUGAGUAACCUGCCCUUGACUUUGGGAUAACUUCAGGAAACUGGGGCUAAUACCGGAUAGGAGCUCCUGCUGCAUGGUGGGGGUUGGAAAGUUUCGGCGGUUGGGGAUGGACUCGCGGCUUAUCAGCUUGUUGGUGGGGUAGUGGCUUACCAAGGCUUUGACGGGUAGCCGGCCUGAGAGGGUGACCGGCCAUAUUGGGACUGAGAUACGGCCCAGACUCCUACGGGAGGCAGCAGUGGGGAAUAGUGCACAAUGGGCGGAAGCCUGAUGCAGCAACGCCGCGUGCGGGAUGACGGCCUUCGGGUUGUAAACCGCUUUCGCCAGUGACGAAGCGUGAGUGACGGUAAUGGGUAAAGAAGCACCGGCUAACUACGUG
rnacentral:rRNA from 1 species